GCCCUAGGCUAUCAAAAAUGUCAGUUUUAUUAAUGUCAAAACCACUGGAAGGCUGUGAAGGGAAAAAGCUGGACGCUGGAGGGAUAACCAGCCACGCCAGGGGAAAACCAAGACAUUUCCUACAAAUCCGAGCUCUGACUGCUAGACUGGUUCAUGAUCAGGACAAGGGGGAGAUUGUAAUCACUUGCCAGGACACAUUUAUGGUAAUGGCAAGUUGCUUCACGCAGUGAGGAACUUCACUUGCAACUGUUGUGCCGAUGCAUUAUAAAGGCAGAUGAUGUUUUUAAUAGCUGUUAUUAAGACAUGGCUUGCCUCGACAGAUAUCAUGACAAAUGAAGGCAGAAUGUUGUGCAACAAGUAAAAUCAAACUGAGACUUAAACUCACCUUGGAAAUAUAGGCCUUGAUACCCUCAGCUAAUUUGAUGCAAGGCUCUCCAAACAGUUGGGCCAGGUCUUCGGGAAUGUCCCGGUCUUUAUCCAGGGCGUUAAGCAAGCCAAGGCACCGCAGCUCUUCUGUAACCCCCUGACUCUUAACCUGCCAAAAGAAUGAAAAUUAGAACACAAGUCCAAAUCACAACCCCUUAAUCUGUAAAAUAAAAUGUGGUUUGAAUGCCACGUCAUCCCAAGAAAUGAUGAGAACAGCACUUUGGUUUAGGAAGCAAAUUGGGAAACAGGGGGCUGAAGGCAUGCUCAAUGAGGAAACAAUCUGCUCAAGGCCGAAGCGUAGGCUGAAGAUCAAAACAAGGGCAAGUAUCCCUCUUGACCCUUUCCUGGAAAGUAGAUGAGGACAUCUGCAACGGGGCUUGCUAUGGAAAGCCAAUGGGCAACAAGUUCAGCUCAAAGACCUUGAGCCAGCUGGAGAGAAACUCGGAGCCGCUCCAAGAAAUAUAUGUUUCCAGUUAAGGAUCUCUGUGCGCAAUUUCGAAGCCUUGAGUCACGGUCCGCCAAAGCUCCUAAUGACUCUCCAGUCGCCGGCGGAGCGUGGCAGCAGAAGUUCCCCCCUGCGGUCUCAAAGAAAGGAAAGCAGGCAGAAAGUUGGUAGUGAUCUAAAUGAUCUGCGAGGGCUGAAGCUCUGCAACUUCGGAUGAAUUCCCCGAGGACAACAGGUUUGUCUAAGCAGGUCUUCAAAGGAAACUUCAGCCAAAUAUUCAAUUUGUGCAUUUGGCAAAGAACAAACUCAGAGGAGAUUGUUCUCUUUCUCUAGAAGACCACACAGAAGUCAAAACCUGUCUAGUCAAUAGAAAGCAAUGCUGUGGCUUUGGGUCGACUAGUCUCUAAAAGCAACAAAUCAUGUCACGAUAAGAAGGGAACCCCCAUUUUGAUAAAAGUUUGAGUUUUAUUUAGACUCACACAAUGAAAAGUAUGCAAACAAGUUCAGUAGGUGCUUUCCUCUCAAUGACGAGUUUCUCUAAAAUUAGCGCAUGUGACACAAACAAUGAGUUAAAGUUAGUGAUAGAGGGCAUUCUCAGCAUGCCAUCGGCCCUCUAGCACACACCUGUACAUACAAACAUUCAACUUUACAAUGACCCGUGCCAUUGUGUGUGGCAAAAGCCCCAGUUGCCAAGGGCAACUAUUCUUUUUUCUCAUAAUCACCUUUGUCUUGGCUCCUCUCAUUGGCUCAUAAAUCUUUGGUAAAUGGCCAAUGAAGACAGGCCUUAUUAAGAGUCCAUUGUGAUGCGUUUUUAAAGCCCUCUGGGUGUUCUAUGAAGUCUCGGGCCAUCGCUGUCCCGUUCUGCUCUGUCUGACUGAAUGUUACACUUCUAGAAUACCAACUACGUGCCUGUCAGUGGACCCCGGUUUCUUUUCCCGAACCAAAUGGGGCCCCAGUCGUUUCGUCCUGCUAGAAUAUCUAAGCACUUCUGAGAAGCAGGAUUUGUUUUUUUUUCUCUGCACAUAAUUAAUACAGAAAUUAAACAUGACAGGAACAGAUUGGAGUAAUUAUGAACUUAGUUUAACUCAAGUUACUGGACUGAAUACGUUUUAGCAUCCUUUUGGGGCUAAUCACACCAGAAAAGACCGUUACAUUUGAUUAUUGUCAAAUAAAGACAGAUAAAAUGCCCCUAAAUGUCUUUGGAACAUUCAGUCCGCAGAGUUUUCAUUACUGUGCUAAUGGCGCUAAAUGAGGGAGUAGCAUUGUUUAUUAGCCGUCCUGUUGGUGUAAACCGGGGCUUUAUUUGUCCUUGCAGGCUCUGAUAAUUUGGUAAAAUGGAGGUGUUUACUCGUCUUUUAGGACAACACUGUGAGCAUCCCAUCUGGCCAGUGCACCAAGAUGAGCACAGGAUAUUUAUCUUGUCGUUGUGUUGAAUUGAUGACCGUCAAUAUGGGGGAAAAAAUCUUUAAUCCUUCACUAACACCACGUUGAUGUUUAAUCCUUGAAAAUAUUUUCCUAAGGCUUUUUGUUCAUGUACGACUGAAACUUCAUCAUAACUCGGGGCCCUUGAAAUAGGCCGGGAGAUAUUUCAAACCUUUUCUCAGAUUUAUUAGAAAAGCCCGCGACUUGUGCGUUACACAAGAUUUAUACCGAGAAGUGAAUCAUUGCUUGGCCUAGUUUAAUUUACUUAGCAAAGAUGAAAAAUAAAAGUAGCUACUCUGUGCUACCUAAUGAAUUUAGAUGCAGGACGAAAUUUAUACAUUUAUCAAAUUUAUAGCUCAAAGUUGCUUUAUAUCGGUGACAUUUAUACAGAGCUUUGUCCUUGUGUCAGUUUUGUAUUUGAGGCUGAACCAGAGUGUGUAAGACUGGAAUCUAUCCAUGCCUUCUUCGGGCCUGGCAAACAUAACGUAACUUGAAUCCGCAAAGAAUUAUCAGAGAAAAGCAGCCACAAUUAGAUGUAAUUAUAUGUUCUCCAUAAAAAGCAUGCUAUUACAGUAAGAACGAAAGGGAAAGACAGAGGAAAAUUGAAUAAGAAUAAAGACCAAAUGUAAAGGAGAGGGGAAACAAGAGGGUGAGAGAGUGAGACGUUGUGGAUCUUGGCAAUGGAAAAUGUCACAGGAGGUUUACCAUGGGGAGCCUGAGAGGAGACAAACAUUUGCUUGCAGGGUAUUGCUUUACAAUGAAUUUCUGUUAUUGUUGCUGAGGGGCCAGUCUAGAACUACAUGUAUCGUGUCAGUUGAGGGAGAAGGAGAUUGAGGCUGGUAGAAACUGCAGGCACCAGACAGUACCAUGCCCCUGCACUACCUUCCAGCUCAGUCCCACACCUAAUCUAAGCUGAUUGUGUGAAUCGUAGUUAUUUAUAAAUAGGUCACCCGGAACUCUUUGCAAUUUUAACGGUGAUGACUUGCGUGGGAGCUUCUGCCUCUAUCCUCUCUGUUGUGUUUACCGUCUCGCAGUGUGACCGUGAAUUAACCUCACUUUCUUUUCCCCCGCAGAGGUAGAGCGUUUAUUUGAAACAAUCAGUCUUAUCUCACCGAGCGCUAUCGUUUUACCGGCUUUGCUGACCGAAGGGUAGU